UCUGGUGCUGCCCUCCCGGCCCAGAGAGCUAGAUCAAAUCCGCCUUCCUGAAGACCGCUGUCGCUGCAGAUGGCUUUGUGUGCCCCUGGGCCUCCGUCUCUGGGUGAAACGCCGCCACAGCCCACAAGACCAUCGCUGGACUCCUCGCCGGCCACGUGGCCUCUCUCUGGAUGCGACCCAGGUAGAUGAAUUGGGCACCGACUGUGAACGGAGCACUGGCUGGGCGCUGGGGAUGUGAUGAUGGUGAACACGGUCGCAGAUCCGCCUCCGAGAACUCGCCAUCUAGUUAAGGACGACGUGCUAAGGGAAACCGCGUAUGUUCCGUGGUGUUAGGUGCUGGGCGGAAUGAUAAACACGUAAUGAUAAAUAUUACAUAGGUAACAUGACGUGCAUGGGACAAGUACACAUCAUUAGGGAGGGAAGAGGGGGGUAGGUCCCCGGACAGGAGGGGUCCUCGUAGCAAAGCAUCCAGUACACUCGAUGACUCACUAUUCCAGGUGGGCGUGUCCCUGCUCCACCUUCAGGGACCCUGAUUCCCCGAGUCACUGCCCUGCCGCCCCCUAAGAUAACGUCUUCGUCUGUAGAGUUGAGGCCGGUCGCGGGCCUGUCCCGGGUCCCGCCUGAGGAAAAGGGGGAAAGACAGCAAACCCAGGGCAACCGUCUCCUUUGGGGCAAGCGACAAGUCACACAGUUUGUUCUCUCGCAAAUCUCGCGUGGGCAUCGAGUCACGUGGCCGCACAGGGCCACAAGGGGAGCCGGGAAAUGUAGUCUUUGUGGGGAGACUAGGUGACCAGAACGAAGAAGAGAGUGGACUGGCGCAGUCAGGGGGAGCCACCAGCCCUCACAUGGUCUGUACGAGGAAACAAGUGGGGAUUUCUUAAUAAGGUAAACAGGGGAGCCCUCCUUGGGGGUGACUUCCAAGAAAAGACCUGGACAAGGUGAAGGAGUGAGCCGUACAGUUUUCUGGGGGGAAAGCACUUCCAGGCAUCAGAGACACAGAGUCCCUAUCACCUGCAGGAAACAGGAGGGACAUCUGGGGGGCUGGAGUCGGUGGAUGAUAGGGAGACUGGGGGACUGAGGUCGCAGAGGUGGCCUGGCCGAGGUGGCCUUAGAGUCCUUGGCCGUGACCCGGCUUUUCCUCUGAGUGGGCACAGGCCACGGGAGGCUUGUGAGCAGGGAAGGGACAUGAUGGGUCUCGCAUUGUGCCACCCCUGUGUCCUGCAUGUGGUCCCCCCUGCUCCCGCCCGAGCCCUCUCGGGGCCCCCAGGCACCUGCACGGCCCUCACCCCCUAGACAUCACCUCCCCCACAGAACCUUCCAUCCACCCUGCAAGACUGCACGGUGUUGGGGGGAGGGGGGGUUGCCUGCCAGGCAUCGGGGCAAGAACAGGCCUGCCUGCAUGGUCCACCUGUGGCUGAGCACACAGUCUGGAGCACAGAGGGGCAAUCAGGACGUUUCUCUGAAUUAAUUCGUAUUAGAAGGAGAUUUCUCCCCGAGACUGACAACCCGAGACGAGCCAACUGACCUCCUGUCUUCUCUGUGGGUCUCCAGAAUCCUGCACGUCCAGGAAAACACACAACCGACCACAGCCUAAGAGCUCAGAACUUGCUAGAACACUGCACGGAUGUUGUGUGUGAACGCGGCUCUAGAAUUCUCAAAGCGUCUGAUGCACCUGCCAGCACCCUCAGGGAGGAGACGAGCUGUGGCCUGGGUGGGGACAGUCACCUCGCACACAUCCUGCCGCCCAUGCAAAGUGUCUGGUGGGUACUGCUCGGCACGGAGGCUUCGGGAAUGGGGAAGAUGCGAUCCUCGUCUUCAACGAGUCUGUAGUCUACGGAGACAGCUGACAAAUAAGUCUGCGAUUAACGUCACCGGGCAGGUAUGGGAAAGCACAGAGGAGGGGGUGUCCUGGCAACGGACCCUGGAGGUGACCCCGUAUGUCAUAUGAACGUGUGCGUGAGGGGAAGGAGGGAAGAGGGGUUCAGGGGUUGUCCCAGGCGCAGGGAGCAGCCCUUGUGAAGACCAGGAGGCCGGUGGGGGUCGGGGUGGGGCAGAGACCAAGGAGAGAACUUAGAAAGCAGGCCGAGAAGCAGCAUGGAAAGUUCCAUAGUGAGAGGGCUCAGUGAGGCGUGCAGGGGAGCUGGUGUGUAAGACAGAGAUGGCUGUGUGUGCGGAAGCGGGAGUGACUUGGGAGGGGGCCGCAGAGACGUGGAGACCCCAGCAGCACCAUCCAUCGCAGCACGGCGACGACCACGGGCGCCGUUUUCACCCGUCAGGCCAACUACGGAUGCACGUCUGACAAGAUCAGGUGUUUGGUGACGACGCAGGGAGAGGGGUCCCGGAUCCCACAGGGAGGACUGAGAAUCGCUGUGUAUUAACCGUGUCUUUGUCUUCUGUGCUGAUACAUGGACACUGGGUCCUUGCCGGCCCCACACAUUAGGAAGGAGACGAUGUCAGUGCCCGCCCCGCAGGACGCAGGACGGACAGAUCACACCUGGGAAGUGUCCAGACAAGCAGAUCCGGACACGUUCGCCGCAGGCGCUUUUGCGACGGUGGAAAAUUGGGAACAGCCUGGCGAACGGCAUGACGGCGGUGUGGGCACCGGGAGGGUCGCUGCAGCCCCGAGGGGGGCGUUCGUCUCCACGUGGGAGCCCGGUUGAGGUUGAGUAAGAGGGGCAACUCGUGGAACCAGCUGUGCGGCGAGAUGUGAUUUACGGGGAAAAACGUGAGCACCGAAGAAGAGAGAGACGUGAUGGAGACGGGGUCGAGUCCAGGUCAGCGACAGCAGGUGGAGUCAGCGGGGAGAGGUGGUCCGAGGUACUACCGUUGGAUUUCUAUGACUUUUAUUUUGUUUUCAUUAUUUAAUUUAAUGUAUUUGGAUUUUUUUUUUUUGGUUAUUAUGGAUCGCUUAGGUGAUUAAAAAUUUAUCUGAGAUGCAGAAGGUGGGGUGCCUGGGGGGCUCAGUGUGUUAAGCCUCCGACUCUCCAUUUCAGCUCAAGUCAUGAUCUCGUGGUUCGUGGGAUCGAGCCCCGUGUCAGGCUCUGCAUUGAGCGUGGAGCCUGCUUGGGAUUGUCUCCCUUUUUCUCUCAAACAAAUUAAAUUGAAAUGAAAAUGCUAA